rnacentral:rRNA from 1 species
UACAGAGACUGCAAGCGUUAUUCGGAUUCACUGGGCGUAAAGCGCGCGUAGGCGGCUUUGUAAGUUAGAGGUGAAAGCCCGGAGCUCAACUCCGGAACUGCCUUUAAGACUGCAUCGCUUGAAUCCGGGAGAGGUGAGUGGAAUUCCGAGUGUAGAGGUGAAAUUCGUAGAUAUUCGGAAGAACACCAGUGGCGAAGGCGGCUCACUGGACCGGCAUUGACGCUGAGGUGCGAAAGCGUGGGGAGCAAACAGG